ensembl:snoRNA
CUGCAGGCCACGGGCUCUCCAACUGCAGGCCACGGGCUCUCCAACUGCAUGCGAGAGCAACCUGGAGAGAUUUUGACAGCUCAGGUCAACCCAAUACCUGUGGCUGCCACUCACCUUUCCUAUAAGA